rnacentral:rRNA from 1 species
UACCAUGCAGUCGAACGAUGAACUGGUGCUUGCAUCGGGGAUUAGUGGCGAACGGGUGAGUAACACGUGAGUAACCUGCCCUUGACUCUGGGAUAAGCCUGGGAAACUGGGUCUAAUACCGGAUAUGACUCCUCAUCGCAUGGUGGGGGGUGGAAAGCUUUUGUGGUUUUGGAUGGACUCGCGGCCUAUCAGCUUGUUGGUGGGGUAAUGGCCUACCAAGGCGACGACGGGUAGCCGGCCUGAGAGGGUGACCGGCCACACUGGGACUGAGACACGGCCCAGACUCCUACGGGAGGCAGCAGUGGGGAAUAUUGCACAAUGGGCGCAAGCCUGAUGCAGCGACGCCGCGUGAGGGAUGACGGCCUUCGGGUUGUAAACCUCUUUCAGUAGGGAAGAAGCGAAAGUGACGGUACCUGCAGAAGAAGCGCCGGCUAACUACGUGCCAGCAGCCGCGGUAAUACGUAGGGCGCAAGCGUUAUCCGGAAUUAUUGGGCGUAAAGAGCUCGUAGGCGGUUUGUCGCGUCUGCUGUGAAAGACCGGGGCUCAACUCCGGUUCUGCAGUGGGUACGGGCAGACUAGAGUGCAGUAGGGGAGACUGGAAUUCCUGGUGUAGCGGUGAAAUGCGCAGAUAUCAGGAGGAACACCGAUGGCGAAGGCAGGUCUCUGGGCUGUAACUGACGCUGAGGAGCGAAAGCAUGGGGAGCGAACAGGAUUAGAUACCCUGGUAGUCCAUGCCGUAAACGUUGGGCACUAGGUGUGGGGGACAUUCCACGUUUUCCGCGCCGUAGCUAACGCAUUAAG